GACGAACGCUGGCGGCGUGCUUAACACAUGCAAGUCGAACGGAAAGGCCCUGCUUUUGUGGGGUGCUCGAGUGGCGAACGGGUGAGUAACACGUGAGUAACCUGCCCUUGACUUUGGGAUAACUUCAGGAAACUGGGGCUAAUACCGGAUAGGAGCUCCUGCUGCAUGGUGGGGGUUGGAAAGUUUCGGCGGUUGGGGAUGGACUCGCGGCUUAUCAGCUUGUUGGUGGGGUAGGGGCUUACCAAGGCUUUGACGGGUAGCCGGCCUGAGAGGGUGACCGGCCACAUUGGGACUGAGAUACGGCCCAGACUCCUACGGGAGGCAGCAGUGGGGAAUAUUGCACAAUGGGCGGAAGCCUGAUGCAGCAACGCCGCGUGCGUGAUGACGGCCUUCGGGUUGUAAACCGCUUUCGCCUGUGACGAAGCGUGAGUGACGGUAAUGGGUAAAGAAGCACCGGCUAACUACGUG
rnacentral:rRNA from 1 species